rnacentral:rRNA from 1 species
AGCUCCAAUAGCGUAUAUUAAAGUUGUUGCAGUUAAAAAGCUCGUAGUUGGAUUUCUGGUCGAGUGUCCCUAGGCCGACUUGACGUUUGGUCCUAGGCGCUCUGCCAUCCUUCUGUUAACUUUCGCCUCGUUCGUUCGUGGCGUCAGGGCUCAGAUAUUUUACCUUGAGAAAAUUAGAGUGUUUCAGGCAGGCUUUCGCCGGAAUACAUUAGCAUGGAAUAAUGGAAAAGGACUUCAACCUCUUCUGUUGGUCUGAGAGGAUGUAGUAAUGAUUAAUAGGGAUAGUUGGGGGCAUUAGUACUUAACUGUCAGAGGUGAAAUUCUCCGAUUUGUUAAAGACUAACUUAUGCGAAAGCAUUUGCCAAGGAUGUUUUCA